GAAAAAUUGUGGAAUAUUUUUUUAAAUGACAUGUAUUCACUAUCUUGACCGAAAUAAAUAAAUAAUUAAAAAAAAAAAAUAAAAAAAAAAAAAUAAGAAAAUAUGAUAUAAGUAUGUAUUACUGUAUCCAGGCAAUGUGACGAGCACCUGUGGUCUUGAUGGAAUAUGCUGUGCUCCUCUUUGACGUAUGUUUCAUAAUGGUAUGGAAAAGGGAAUUAAAAUCUAAUGCUUGUUUUAUGAAUAAUAAUAUAGGUAUAAUCAACAUAUGAACACAUUGUCAUAAGGACUAUUACAGUAAUUAAACUGCAAAACCAUAGUAUGUAUCUGCAGGUAAUGCACAGGAUGUGUGCAGAUGCUAAUUGAUAUUCUAUGUUCUCAUUUUUUUUGAGUUUCUUUUUAUGCUUGUUAAAUAUCUUUUGACUAUUUCAGGCUGGUGAGAGAAAACUAUCAGGAAUGAUUCAAGCUAAGUAAUGUAAAAGCCACUGAGUAAUUCAAGGUCUCAGACAUCUAGAAUAUGCUCAUAGUCACUCAGUCUUCAAGAUCUCAUCCCAAGCAUUCCACUGUGAAUAAGCAGACUUUGACAAAACAGUACUUACCAUUUCCACUGGAGAUAGCAGACCAAGCAGACUUUAUGCUACAUAUAUAUGGACACAGACACUGCAUUGCAUAUUCCAACACACCAUAAGACUUCCAACUGUUUCAUAGGCAGUGAGGCAUUUGUGUUAACCUCAUGAGUUGAAAUGAAAUUUCUUUUUGUUUUCUUUUUUAAGUUUGACUUUGCAUUGAAAAAGCCUUUAACUUAACAUUUGAUUUUCCAAAUAUAUAUAUAUAUGUAUACAGUGUCAACUGUGAUAUCCAUUUGUACAUAUCUUCCUCCAAGCAUUUAAACAAUUGUGAUUGAUAAAGAAAAAAUUGAAUGAAACAUUUAUCUUUUAUCUUAUGAUAAUAAAUAAAACACGUUCUACCAUA